UAAUUUUUUUUGUUUAAAUUUAGGUAUUGCAUACCAUUAAUGGAGAAUUUUAUUUAUAUAAAAAAUAAAAAUAGAGUGUAGAAUUACAAUUGGUUUUAUUGUUACAUAAUAAAAAGAAUUGUAAAUUAGUGUUGAAAUGUCGUACUCUAUAAUAAUUGUUUAUUUUUUUUUAUUAGAAAAUUAUAAAUUUGUAUAAAGUUUUGCAAAUAAAUAAUUUAUAGUGUUUGUAUUACCAGUAUUAUUACUGGUUGUUUUUAUUGUUGUUAUAUUUUUUAUUUAUUUAAUAAGACUUUAUUAAAUGUUAAGUUAUUAAAUUAGUAAAUUUUUAAAUGUUAUUUUUUUUUUUAAUAUAAUAAAAGAACUAAAAAUUUAAUCAAAUGUUUUUUAAAGACUUAGACUUUAUUUUAAAGUUAGCUUCUGCCCGGUGAAAUUUUUAAAUGGCAGUCUUAGCGUGAGGACAUUAAGGUAGCAAAAUAAUUUGUGCUUUUAUUGGGUUCUAGUAUGAAUGAAGUUAUUGGUUAAUUGUUUUUUUAUUUUGUAAUGAAUUUUUUUAUGUAUAAAAAAUUAUGUUUAUACUUAUACAAAGAUAAGUCUUCGGAAAUUUUUUUAAUAUUAAUUAUUUUUAUAUAAUUAGUAUUGAGUUUUCUAGGGUAGAAUUAUGUGUAUAGUUGGUUACUAUUUAUAAUUUAAAAAAUUACUCCGGAGUUAACAGAAAAUCAUAUCUAAUCUAGUUCUUAUAGUAAGAUAAGUUUUACAUCGAUGUUGUAUUUGAAUUUAUUAAGAGUGGAGAAGGCUUAAUUAUUAAGACUGUUCUUCUUUUAUUUAAUUCAACGUGAUAUUAGUUUAAUUCAUCGUGAGAUAGAAUUGUUUAUCUUGUUAAGUAUUUAUUUUUAUUAAUAUUAGUACGAAAGGAAAGUUUUAAAGAUUUAAAAUCUUAUGAGGUGACUCAAUUUUAGUA
rnacentral:rRNA from 1 species